rnacentral:misc_RNA from 1 species
AAGUCGUAACAAGGUCUCCGUAGGUGAACCUGCGGAGGGAUCAUUAACACGUUUCCAAAAAAACGUAUCCAACCCAAUAACCCCGUGAACAAACCACACUCCCUUCAUAGUCGGACGACGGAACAAUCAUCAGGGUGGACUCUUUCUGUUCGGCAUGGACCACGCACACCUUCGGGAGCGCGAGGAACCCAGCUAGAAAGUCUAUGACUCGGUCUAGGGACUCUCGAGGUCCCAAUCCGCUAUGAAGUGUCUUUGCGACCACCUGGCAGACUACAAACCUCAAAUAAGUGAGUGAUACCUUCUGGUGUUGCAAGCCUUGGCCGUGAGAGAGGAAGCGUGCGAACGAAAUGAUAUACGUAAUGCUGAACAACUCUUAGCAAUGGAUAUCUUGGUUCUC